ACCACCACUGAGCUAUCUUCUUUUCCCCAAUCCCCAUUCCCCCUGCCGACGGCAUCUCUACGCGCAGGCAGCCGCCUCCCCAUCCUCGCCUCCUCGCAGCGCGACCACGCCAUGCCUGGAUCUCCCCGGCCACCGGGCGGCGGAGUCCCAUCCGCGUCUCAUCGCUGGGCGACCACGAGGUGUGCGGCAAGCUCAUGGUCCCAUGCCUAGGUCUACUCGCCCAUGACGUAGUCCACCAGGGCUCGUACCUGCGCCACCGGAACUCGCACUGCUCUGCAAGUUGCCGACAGCCCUCCCCUGUGCCACCUCUCUCCUCCAACCUGAUGGACAGCAAGAGGGCUCUAAUCCUCGAGAGUAGACGGCGCAUCGUCGAUACUCGGGGUCACCGCGAGGAGGUUGUCUGUGCUGGCCUCGAGCGUCAGAAGGACGCGCAAGGCCGGACCUCUCUUGCUGUCACCGCCAUGCCCAGAUUCUAACGACAUGAGUUGUUGUGCCGAGCUAUCCUAGACCUUGAGGUCGUGUCUUGCCUUUUCCUCCUCCGUCUGGGGAGAUGAAGAAGUAGCAGGUACACAGGGGUGAUGCUAGGGGUGCUCCUCUGCGAGGCUCCAUUUUAUUUAGUUGAACUGGCAUGUCUCCUUCAGUUGUGUGGUGGUUGCUGAUGGCCAUCUACAACAUGCUCGAGCUAUCUAAUUUCUGUUCUCAUGGCCCAAUUCCUACAAUGAUGUGCAACCACUACAAGGAUCAAGGUCAUCUCUGGCGCGCGGCGGAGACCAUGUUGGAGUGUUGUGAGCAGUACCUUCUCUGGCUCAUGAUGUUGUUCAGUGAGCUUGCUGAAAAACUGAGCUCCAUGGUAGUACACAAGCGCUCCAGUAGGAUAUAGUGCUUUGAUUUUGAUUGACUCCUGCCGGAUGCCUAGUGUACUCCCUCCACAUUCUAUAGACAAUGCUCGCCACUAUCUAGAGCAGCAGCGUCCAAGUACUCGAUGGAAAUGAAGGUCCAUGCCAUCCAAAGCGAGGCUUAAUCAGCUGGGAUGUGUCGCAGGUGUUGAAGAUGCAACCAGUGGUUAGUUCCACAUGGACAUGGAAAAAAGCAAGAGGGGGGGGGGGUGCCGCACGAUUGGGUUUGCGAAAUGGGUCGGGGGAAUAUUGGCGGGAAGCGUACGGUGGCUAUGGUAACUGCCACACGGCUGUUAUAUAGUCCAGUCCAAGAUGCGAAUGAUGAAUCUAGUUGUCUUGAUUUCGAUGAAUCUUGAUGAAACUUUUAGUUUUAUCGAGAAUCUUUGUUACUUUUGUUCUUCUCAAUUAUAUCGAUCUAGUGUACUUUCUUUUAUGGAACUAGCAUGGUGGCCCGCGCGAAAUGCGCAGGCUAGACCUGAUGAUCGUUGUUAUAUUUCUUUUUACGUGUGUUGAUGACUUUUUCACUUUGUACUCUUUUGAUUUUCUGCCAUACUCGUAUACUCCCUCUGGUCGGUUUUAUAAGGCCCACACGGGAUUUUAUAACGGACUUUGGCGAAACAUUACUUGAUAAUACGAUGUUAUUGCGACACAAAAGAGAUAUCAUUGUAUCUGUUUUGGAAAACUCAAUAAAUAGUAUAAUGUUUAUA